GACCUCGUAGCUCAGUCGGCAGAGCAGUGGACUUUUAAUCCAUUUGUCGUGGGUUCGAGUCCCACCGAGGUCA
rnacentral:tRNA from 5 species